rnacentral:rRNA from 1 species
GAUGAACGCUAGCGGCAGGCUUAAUACAUGCAAGUCGUGGGGCAGCAUGAGUGUAGCAAUACAUUUGAUGGCGACCGGCAAACGGGUGCGGAACACGUACACAACCUUCCUAUAAGUGGGGAAUAGCCCAGAGAAAUUUGGAUUAAUACCCCGUAACGUAAUGAUGUGGCAUCACAUUAUUAUUAUAGCUUCGGCGCUUAUUGAUGGGUGUGCGGCUGAUUAGAUAGUUGGCGGGGUAACGGCCCACCAAGUCUACGAUCAGUAGCUGAUGUGAGAGCAUGAUCAGCCACACGGGCACUGAGACACGGGCCCGACUCCUACGGGAGGCAGCAGUAAGGAAUAUUGGUCAAUGGACGCAAGUCUGAACCAGCCAUGCCGCGUGAAGGAUUAAGGUCCUCUGGAUUGUAAACUUCUUUUAUCUGGGACGAAAAAAGGCGAUUCUUCGUCACUUGACGGUACCAGAUGAAUAAGCACCGGCUAACUCCGUGCCAGCCGCCGCCGUAAUAC